rnacentral:tRNA from 1 species
GCCUGGGUGGCUCAGUCGGUUGAGCGUCUGACUUCAGCUCAGGUCAUGACCUCACGGUUUGUGAGUUUGAGCCCCGUGUCGGGCU